GCCUGGCAGAUAAUCUCAGUUGGGCAUGGUUUCAUCUGGGAAGGCCACAGAGACGUCUUCCGCUGUGAUGCUGUCCACAAUGGAGGUGAGAGAGUGCAGGUUGUGGGCGUCCGUGGGGUCAGCCGUGAGCAGGUGAUCUGUAAGGAGAAGGGGGGAGGAUGUCACCUGUGUGAUAAAGGGGGUUUCAAGACCCAGGACAGGGAACAAGGUCUUUGGGGGUGGCACAGGUUUCCCAGGACAGAUGAGUGCGCAAAACUCAAGAAUCCUACCCGCUAGCCCAUGCCUUUCUCAGUGCCAAGCAUAUGUGUGUGUGUGCGUGUGUGUGUGCACGCGUGUGCAUGUGUGUGUGAACACUGAACGCAUGUGCCUUCUCUCUGAGCUCCCCUAGUGGGGUUAGGAUUUGAAAGCAGCUACUCUGAGACGGAGCCAGGACGGUGUAUCCUGGGAGACUGGAACUGUCCUUUGCUGGCCCAGUUUUGCAGCACUGACUCGGCAAUUCCCAGGGACCCCUGGGGCAGGGACAUUCCCCUCUCCGUGGAGAAGGUCAGGCACCAGGCUUUGGUCGGGGAGCUGCAGGAGGCCUAGACCACUCCUUAGCUGGUCAAGGUCUCAGGGAGGCACAGGGCCUCGCUGCCCAGCAUUUGGAAUCCCGGGUUCAGCAGUGCCCUGGAGAAGCCAAAGGCAAGAGGACUGGAGCAAGAAGCAAGAUGUUUCGUUCCCUCGGGUGGACGGCCGACUCUCUGAGGGGGGCUCAUUGUGACGUGUUCCAAAGAACCCUGGACUGGGAAUCGGAGGCCUGAGCUCAUGUUUCAGUUCUAGGCUUUGGUGGCCCCAGGCCUCCCUCUGAGCCUCUGCGUUUUGACCCGUUAAAGGGGGUCAUAAUAGCUUCUGCACUGGGCAGGCUGCCAACACCUGGGGUAGACGUGACGAAGGCCCAGACACGUGGUUCUACCCCUUCUUCUGUCUGCGUCUACCUGAAACAAGUGAAAACGUAUGUUCACGCAAAAACUCGUACACGAAUUUCACAGCGGGAUUAUUUACCAUAGUCUCAAAGUAGAAACGACCCCUAUGUCCAUCAACUGAUGAAUGGAUAAACAAAAUGUGGUGUAGACACGUGAUGGAAUAUUAUUCGGUCCUCAAAAGGAACGAAGCGCUGGCACCUGCACAGUAUAGAUGGACUUUGACAACAUUAUGCUAAGGGAAAGAAGCCAGUCACAAAGGACCACGUAGGAUCCGGUUUCACUUACACGAGGGGGCCAGAACAGCAAGAUCCACAGACACAGCAAGUAUAUUAGUAACUGCCUGGGUCUGUGUAGGAGUGGGUAGGGGUAGGGAAGUGACUGCUAAUGGGUGCAAGGUUUUUUUGGAGGGCGAUGAGAAUGUUCUAAGAUUAAAUUAUGGUGACGGUUGCACAAUUCCGUAAUUAUACUGAAAAAAAAAUCACUGAGUUGUACACUUCAAACGGGUGAACUUUAUGGUAUGUAAAUUACAUAUCAACAGAGCUGUUAAGAAA